UACGUAGGUGGCAAGCGUUGUCCGGAAUUAUUGGGCGUAAAGCGCGCGCAGGCGGCCUCCUAAGUCCGAUGUGAAAGCCCACGGCUCAACCGUGGAGGGUCAUUGGAAACUGGGGGACUUGAGUGCAGGAGAGAAGAGUGGAAUUCCACGUGUAGCGGUGAAAUGCGUAGAGAUGUGGAGGAACACCAGUGGCGAAGGCGACCCGCUGGGUCACACCUGACGCUGAGACGCGACAGCAUGGGGAGCGAACGGG
rnacentral:rRNA from 1 species